GGGAGCAUGGUGUAGCCAGGCAUCAUAGCGGGCUCCAGACCCGCUGACCUGGGUUCGAAUCCCAGUGCUCCCA
rnacentral:tRNA from 1 species